AUUGAACGCUAGCGGCAGGCUUUACACAUGCAAGUCGAACGAGUGGCGGACGGGUGAGUAAUAUAUCGGAACGUGCCCAGUAGCGGGGGAUAACUACUCGAAAGAGUGGCUAAUACCGCAUACUAUGGGAUCGGCCGAUAUGGGAUUAGCUAGUUGGUGGGGUAAGGGCUCACCAAGGCAACGAUCCGUAGCUGGUUUGAGAGGACGACCAGCCACACUGGGACUGAGACACGGCCCAGACUCCUACGGGAGGCAGCAGUGGGGAAUUUUGGACAAUGGGCGAAACCCUGAUCCAGCCAUGCCGCGUGUAUGAGAAGGCCUUCGGGUUGUAAAGUACUUUCAGCGGAGAAGCGGUAUCUGCAGAAUAAGCACCGGCUAACUACGUGCCAGCAGCCGCGGUAAUAC
rnacentral:rRNA from 1 species